GAUUCUUGAGCCAGGACCAUGACGGCCGGGCGAGACGAGACCAAGAAAAAUCCCGCUCUUGAAAACACACACAGACGUAGGCAUUCUCAGCUAGGGAGAUCCGGCGCCACAAAGAAGUGGCGCCCAACUGUAAAACCAACCGUUUUUUAUCCUUUUUUCCUUGAGAUUUUCAUUGUUUUUGGCAACACCUAUACUAGUAUAGCAGGAGGAGAGAAGAAGACAGCAGACUGACAGGCCCUGAUUGGGGUGUAAGAUAGGCUGCCCGCCUGAAAGCAGGCUGGCAGCUAGGCCGAAUAAUCAAUGGAUCGCGGCAAAGGGCCAAAAGGAGGCCCCCGGGAGAGCGACCCCUCUGUAUUGUUUGUUACACGUCAAUGCAAACUGGAAAAUGGCUUUCGUUUCUUGUGUGGAUGGAAUGGCAUACGACUACGUACCUGUGAUCUGUUUCUGAAUAUACAAAAAGCAGUACUAGUACUAAUCAACUGUCUCGAUGCUACUCGUAGUUGAGAGUAGUAGUAAGCAACACUCGUUCCCGAUCGCCUCGUGCGUGUCCGUGCAUGCUUCGAAGCAACGAAGUCCACGCUGCACAAAGUAGAAAGUACACCUCCAUAAAAGAGUCAAUUACAUCACAGGUGUCUGAACUUGGCAAUAAAAGUCAGUUUGAUGCUAAAAUUUGUAAGAUACAUUGAACCGGUGACAAAACUUGGCUUGGACGUGCAUCUACGAUGUUAAUCAUGUUUUCUAUACGCACAACAUGUUGACGAGGCGCGCCAACAUGGCGUGGGACUCAAUGUAAGUGACAGGAAGGUGGGCACGGGCGUGUAGCCUGAUAUUUUGCAGAAACGACCUGAUAUUUUAUUUUUCUCAUAAAAGCCACUCAAUUUUUUUCUUAAAAUAACCCUGAAAUUUCACUAUGACAAUUGGGCCCCACCCGUCAGGGCGCAAUACAACAGAGAGAAAUGAGGACGCAAAAUGUAGCACGGCCCCCAGGUUCGAAUACAUGACAUACAUACCGCCAGCCCACACAGGCCAGCCACCACACCACAUACCAAUGCUGUACAAGUGGGAUUUCCACCCAUAAUGACCUAUAGACAAGCACACACAUAGGGCUUAAAUCGGCUACAGUCACCGCAUGCCAUUUUCACAUGUUAGUUUUUUUCAUAGCAUUUUGUAAGAAAAUGUAAAUUAAAAAGAUUAUACAUACAAAUAAAUUAACUUAAUUAAGAUGAUGUUUUUGUAAUUAUAAGAAAAAUAUUUAAGAUAAUUUUCAUGUAAUUCUAAAAAUAUAUUCUUAUUUAACAUAAUGGUCAUGUAAUUCUAAAAAUUAUGAUUAUUUAAAAUAAUGUUCAUGCAAUUCUCAAAACAUUAUUAUUUAAAUAAUGUUCGCUUAAUUCUAAAAGAUGUUCAUAUUUGAACAAAUGUUAAUGUUAUCCUAUUAAAUAUUCAAGUAUUAUUUGAAAAUGAUUUUAUAGUAAAAGUAAUAUUUAUGAAUUAUUUUCAUAAAUUAUAAAAAUAUUCAUGUCAUAUUAAUGUCUUCAGAAAAAUAUUCACAGAUUUUUAGGCUGUAUUCAUGCAUUCAGAUAAAUAUUCAUGUAUUCACUUUCCAAGAAAUAUUAUUACUUAAAAUACUGUUCACGUAAUUCUAAAAUAUAUUCAAGCAUUUACUAGAAAACAAUUAUAUAAUUUAAAUGAAUAUGAACUUAACCGUAUAUAUGAAUUAAAAACACUAUCAUUGUAGAAAUUGGCCGCGGUCACUGCAGACCAUUUAAGCCCAUCUGGGUCAUUACUUUUUUUGUUAGACAUGUACUCCCUCCGUUCCCAAAUAUAAGUCCUUUUAGAGAUUUCAAUAAGUGACUAUAUACGGAACAAAAUGAGUGAAUCUACUCUCUAAAAUAUGUCUACAUACAUCCAUACGUUUGAAAUGUCUAAAAAGGAGGGAGUAUGUUUCAUUAGGGUUAGCUAUCCAAUCAACAAAACCUGUUUGACUUGCCGUGGUGGCUAGCAGCUUCGGCUUGUUAUGAUGAGGUCCGCGUUCGAAUUCCUUACCUUUGCAUAUUCGUUUCCUCUUGUACUGUUUCCUGACGGGUGGGCUUCACUUUUUUUUAGGAAAAAAAAUCAAGGGGCUCUUUUGCGACGAGAAAAAAAUUUCCAGACUGUUUUCGCAAAAAACAAAAAAAAAA
rnacentral:lncRNA from 1 species